UGCUAAUGCUGAUUCGCCUGCUGCACGCAGCUCAGCAUGCUUGGUGCCUGUGUGUAACCUCUGCAUGCCCUGAUUCUCUAAGCUCGUUUUGGGAUAAGGAUCCAGAAAACAUGUCUUUCCUUCUUUUUUUUUUUUUUUUUUAAAGAUUUUAUUUAUUUAUUUGAGACAGAGAGAAUGAGAGACAGAGAGCAUGAGAGGGAGGAGGGUCAGAGGGAGAAGCAGACUCCCCGCCGAGCAGGGAGCCCGAUGCGGGACUCGAUCCCGGGACUCCAGGAUCAUGACCUGAGCCAAAGGCAGUCGCCCAACCAACUGAGCCACCCAGGCGCCCCCAUGUCUUUCCUUCUUAAUUCUUUUUUCUCCCUGACAUUUUGUUUUCCUGCUUUAAAACACCAACCCUUUUAGAUUUUCCCCAAACCCAUCAGCCCCACAGAACACUUAGAAAAUGACUUCACAUUAACACCAGUGGGAGCUCAUGAGAUAAUACACUUCCUUCUUUUAGUCUCAGGUCAAGGGAAGCGAAUUUGGACAGUAUACAUGCUUAGUAUUCUAGGAAAUUACCAUAAAAUAUGUUCAGCGUGUCUGAAGCUGUAUGAUGACACGCAAAACACACCAGGGAUUUUCGAGGGCCCAGCCCUGAGCUAGCAGAUUGGUUAGAGGGUGAGCUGCAGUUCGGGUUCAUGGGCAGGUGGAAAUGGUAUACUUGGGAUGGCCCACCGUGUUUUUCUGCCAUUUCUUAUGUUAAAAAGUGACUUUUAAGAGCCUGUAUUAUGGAAACUUUCUUUUUUUUUUUUAAGGUUUUAUUUAUUUGAGAAAGCGAGCGUGAGCGAGCUCAUGCGAGUGCGCAAGCGCGCGCAUGAGCAGGGGAGGGGGAGGGGCGGAGGCAGAGGGAGAUGCAGGCUCCCCCCGCCCGAGCAGGGACCCCGACGUGGGGCUCCGUCCCAGGACCCUGAGAGCAUGACCUGAGCUGCAGGCAGAUGCGUCGCUGACUGAGGUACCCAGGCGUCCUGGAAGUUUUCACAUACUCAGAAGUAUGGAGAAUGGUGCAAUGCACCCCCGCGUUCGCUUCCCCUCGCUUCAGGGGGCUGUCAGGGGCGGACUCCCGAGGAGAUGGCCCGAUGGACAGGGAGAUAACACUAGAAGAUUUGGUUGGAAACCCCGAACAGUUCCGAGUGUAUGUAUUACAGUGCAUUCUGUGUCUGCAUCUGCUGAAAAGGAGCCGCAAGCCCCUGGCAACCAGCAGUCUGCAUUCUGCCUCUAGGGAUAUGUGUAAAUGGUACACAAGAGGAAAGGACAUUAAUGUGGCAACUCAUAUGAUGGUGGUGUUCUUUGUUGGAAGUCACUCCAUGGUACACACAGCAAAACAAUAAUGGCACUUCCACGGGAGACAGAGAAGAAAGUUCCUGUUAAUUGACAAGUCAGUGGGGAAGCCUGGAAUGGCUCUGCUUUCUCACCUUAACUCACUUUGGUUCUCAAGAUUAAUUAGACAAGGCAUAAUAUACAGUAAUAUUUCCAGCCCUGCCUCGCUUCACAGCUACCAUUUUAAAAAAUCAUCCGUAAUUCUGUGGAAUGUAGACAUUUCCUCUCAUUUGUGUACUUGCUUUCCACAGAACAUUUGUCUUUUUUCAAUAUUUCUUUCAAGUCAACUUUCCUUAAGCAAUCUGCGCAAAAUUCUACAAAUAAACCACAUUUCCCGUCACUUAUAGAGACAGAAAGUCAAAGAUGGAGGAAACUCUUAGACCUCAGGAGCAAUUCCUCUAAUGGCAAUAUUUUUCAGUGUGUGGCACAUUCAAGGCCUUACCAUUGAGACUUGUUUCUGGAAGAAAAAUAGGAGCUGACCUGUUUUCCACCACUAAAUUUUGGUAUGUUCUUUUUAUCCACUUAAAACACCUGCACUCAGCGCUUUUAGAACUUUUUUUCCUGGCCCAAUGGAGAAAUCUAUCCCGAUGAGAACCAGUCAAGCAGAUUGCAUGCUCAGACCCAGAU